ACUCUUUGCGACCCCAUGGACUAAACAGUCAAUGUCAUUCGCCAGGCCAGAGUACUGUGUGGGUAGGCGUUCCCUUCUCCCGGGGAUCUUCCCAACCCAGGGAUCGAACCCAGGUCUCCUGCGUUGCAGGUGGAUUCUUUACCAGUUGAGCUACCAGGGAAGCC